rnacentral:rRNA from 1 species
UGGGGAAUAAUGGACAAUGGGGGCAACCCUGAUCCUGCCAAGCCGCGUGAAUGAUGAAGGCCUUCGGGUUGUAAAGUUCUUUUGACGGGGACGAUGAUGACGGUACCCGUAGAAUAAGCUCCGGCUAACUUCGUGCCAGCAGCCGCGGUAAUACGAAGGGAGCUAGCGUUGUUCGGAAUUACUGGGCGUAAAGGGCGCGUAGGCGGUUAGACAAGUUGGAUGUGAAAGCCCAGGGCUCAACCCUGGAACUGCAUUCAAGACUGUUUGACUUGAAUUUGGUAGAGGUGAGUGGAAUUCCCAGUGUAGAGGUGAAAUUCGUAGAGAUUGGGAAGAACACCGGUGGCGAAGGCGGCUCACUGGACCAACAUUGACGCUGAGGCGCGAAAGCGUGGGGAGCAAACAGGAUUAGAUACCCCGGUAGUCC